rnacentral:rRNA from 1 species
GAUCCUGGCUCAGGAUGAACGCUAGCUACAGGCUUAACACAUGCAAGUCGCGGGGCAGCAUGUCGGUUGCUUGCAACCGAUGAUGGCGACCGGCGCACGGGUGAGUAACGCGUAUCCAACCUGCCCUUCACCACGGAAUAAUCCAGUGAAAAUUGGUCUAAUGCCCGAUGUUCCGCGUUUGCCGCAUGGCAAAUUCGGCAAAGAUUUAUUGGUAAAGGAUGGCGAUGCGUCCCAUUAGUUAGUUGGCGGGGUAACGGCCCACCAAGACGACGAUGGGUAGGGGUUCUGAGAGGAAGGUCCCCCACAUUGGAACUGAGACACGGUCCAAACUCCUACGGGAGGCAGCAGUGAGGAAUAUUGGUCAAUGGGCGAGAGCCUGAACCAGCCAAGUAGCGUGCAGGACGACGGCCCUAUGGGUUGUAAACAGCUUUUAUAAGGGAAUAAAGUUAGUCUCGUGAGACUUUUUGCAUGUACCUUAUGAAUAAGGACCGGCUAAUUCCGUG